rnacentral:rRNA from 1 species
UACGUAGGGUGCGAGCGUUGUCCGGAAUUAUUGGGCGUAAAGAGCUUGUAGGCGGUUUGUCGCGUCUGCUGUGAAAAUCCGGGGCUCAACCCCGGACUUGCAGUGGGUACGGGCAGACUAGAGUGUGGUAGGGGAGACUGGAAUUCCUGGUGUAGCGGUGGAAUGCGCAGAUAUCAGGAGGAACACCGAUGGCGAAGGCAGGUCUCUGGGCCACUACUGACGCUGGAGAAAGCGAAAGCAUGGGGAGCGAACAGG